rnacentral:tRNA from 1 species
GGGCGGCCCGCCGGCUGGUGCCGGCACCUGGCCCACACCCAGGAGAAGGAGGGUUCGAUCCCCUCGCCACCCA